rnacentral:rRNA from 1 species
CAGUCGCCGCGGUAAUACGUAGGGUGCAAGCGUUGUCCGGAAUUAUUGGGCGUAAAGAGCUCGUAGGCGGUCUGUUACGUCGGCUGUGAAAACCUGGGGCUCAACUCCGGGCCUGCAGCCGAUACGGGCAGACUAGAGUUCGGCAGGGGAGACUGGAAUUCCUGGUGUAGCGGUGAAAUGCGCAGAUAUCAGGAGGAACACCAGUGGCGAAGGCGGGUCUCUGGGCCGAAACUGACGCUGAGGAGCGAAAGCGUGGGGAGCAAACAGGAUUAGAUACCCCGGUAGUCCCUGUCUCUUAUAA